AUUGAACGCUGGCGGCAUGCCUUACACAUGCAAGUCGAACGGUAACAGGUCUUCGGAUGCUGACGAGUGGCGAACGGGUGAGUAAUACAUCGGAACGUGCCUAGUAGUGGGGGAUAACUACUCGAAAGAGUGGCUAAUACCGCAUGAGAUCUACGGAUGAAAGCAGGGGACCGCAAGACCUUGUGCUACUAGAGCGGCCGAUGGCAGAUUAGGUAGUUGGGGGGAUAAAAGCUUACCAAGCCGACGAUCUGUAGCUGGUCUGGGAGGACGAUUAGCCACACUGGGGAUGGGAAACCGCCCAGAAUCCUACGGGAGGCAGCAAUUGGGAAUUUUGGAACAUGGCGCAAGCCUGAUCCAGCAAUUCCGCGUGCAGGAUGAAGGCCUUCGGGUUUGAAACUUCUUUUUUACGGAACGAAAAGCCCCGGGUUAAUACCCUGGGGUCAUGACGGUACCGUAAGAAUAAGCACCGGCUAACUACGUGCCAGCCGCCGCUGUAA
rnacentral:rRNA from 1 species